rnacentral:lncRNA from 9 species
CUCUGGUCCCUUCAGCUUCUACAGCACUGGCUGUGAAUGUCCUCUGAGGUCAGGAUACCGUUCAGGUGCCUGCGUCAUCCCUUUCCACUACCUCCAGCAUCCGGAAUCUCAUUUUAGCUGUGGGGAUCACGAGACCCACAAACCGUAAAGGGGGAAAUCCAGAAAUAGAAGCCGAGGGACAAAGAAGAACAAGGACGGUUGCACAGCUUGGAGCAAGCGGCUGGCAACAAGCGGAAGUAGAUGCAUCCUUGCCCUGCCCAGUCUCAGAUGAAUCUUUCUUCAUCUUUCUGCUCCACAUCCUACUUCCCUGCCUUGAACUUGAGAGGGAAGUUUUCUUCCUGCAGAGCUGCCUGUGAAGAUGAGAAGCUCAGAAAUCAUUUAUUUGAGCCAUGACUGAAAAGACCUUCUGCCUUUUGAAAUGCAAUUGCAUAUCUGGAACCAAAUGAGCCUGUGUUUUCACAACUGUGGGGCGUUUUUCUGUUUGGAGAAUUGCACAGCAUUGUGGGGAAGAC